GAUGAACGCUGGCGGCGUGCUUAACACAUGCCAGUCGAACGAUGAAGCCCAGCUUGCUGGGUGGAUUAGUGGCGAACGGGUGAGUAACACGUGAGUAACCUGCCCUUAACUCUGGGAUAAGCCUGGGAAACUGGGUCUAAUACCGGAUAGGAGCGUCCACCGCAUGGUGGGUGUUGGAAAGAUUUAUCGGUUUUGGAUGGACUCGCGGCCUAUCAGCUUGUUGGUGAGGUAAUGGCUCACCAAGGCGACGACGGGUAGCCGGCCUGAGAGGGUGACCGGCCACACUGGGACUGAGACACGGCCCAGACUCCUACGGGAGGCAGCAGUGGGGAAUAUUGCACAAUGGGCGAAAGCCUGAUGCAGCGACGCCGCGUGAGGGAUGACGGCCUUCGGGUUGGAAACCUCUUUCAGUAGGGAAGAAGCGAAAGUGACGGUACCUGCAGAAGAAGCACCGGCUAACUACGU
rnacentral:rRNA from 1 species